AGAAUUAUGCCCGAAUGUUUAAGGACCACGUUGAUGUCGUGGCUAAUGGGGGUUCAAAUCCCCCUAAUUCUA
ensembl:Mt_tRNA